CAUUUAUUAUUGGCUUAAUUUUAUACAGCUCCUUGUAAACAUAUCGAAUAACAAAUAUAUCUCUAUAAAGUUCAACUUUUUAUAUUUAUUUCUGUAAAAAUUCAGUAAUAUUCAUAUUUGCCUCUCUUGUUUGUUACUAUUAAGACACUGUUUAUUUUUUAGUAGAAGAUAAGUGUAAUGACAUUAUAACCAUCACAAAUAUGUCACUUCAAAAGUCUAAUUGUUAGAAUUAUGUAGAAAUAUCCUCUCUAAAUUUUUUAACGGUCAUCUUUUUUUCUCUAUACCAUCACAAAUAAUAUAAGACAGAUAAAAAGAUUAAUUUAUCUUAUUCACUAUUCAGGAUUAAGUAUUUUAUCUGUGGUUAACUAUAUUUUUUUAACAAACCCUAUUAGUAGGGGGAUAUUUGAAAAACGUUAGGAUUUUUAUAGGAAAAAACAUGAAAAGUUAAAUUUUAUAAGAACAUAUUUGCUAUUCGAUAUGUUUCCGGAGAGCUGUAUGCAAUUAAUCUAUUAUUUAUAUGCAUGUCAACAUUGAGCUU
rnacentral:lncRNA from 1 species